rnacentral:misc_RNA from 1 species
CUUGGACGUCUGCUGAAUCAGUUGUGGGG